UUAACUAUUAUAUAGUACUCAGACAUCAAAGAUUCAAGGGUUUGAGUCCUCUGGCCGGCCCGGAGGCCAGCCAAAGCAACUGAAGUUUCGUAUGCAAAGGGUGAGAAUGGGACGCAAGCAUCACCAAUUCUUUAAUGAUCCUUCCGCAGGUUCACCUACGGAAA
rnacentral:misc_RNA from 1 species